CAGGACCCAGACAGGUGCUACAGGCCCAUACCUGGGGCCCUGACACCUGGAACCAUGCGAAGGCACCAGAAUAUUGUCCAUGGAGCAUUGUCAACCUUUGUGGUUGACAAAAAAAGCUUGAAAAUGUGAUGCCAGUGUAACCAGUGCAGACUGAGUCUGCAGAGAGCCUGAGACGGGGCUCCGACUGUAGCCGAAGCAGCAACACCCCACUGAAGCCAUGCAGGGCUCCGACUGUAACCGAAGCAGCAACACCCCACUGAGGCCAUGCAGGGCUGAGUGUAAUGAUGCAACGACCCUGCCUGAGACUGGCUGGGGGGGUGCACUGGGGUUGUCUAUGGAGCUGAGGAAAGAACCCAGGAGUCCUGCCUUCAGAGAAGGGACUUCAGCUCAGCAUUGAGACAAGCAUCCCAGGUCCACCCAUCGCUGAGUACAGGAGGGGAGCUAACCUGCCAGGCGGGCGAGGAAGUGCUGCCCAGGGCCUCCUCCCAGGCCCAGUGACGCCUCUCCCGCCUGCCUGGCUCGGGGAGAGCCUGAACCUAUUGCUGUGAAAUGGAGCAAACCGCCCUGGGUGUGACCGACGCUGCCUGAGUUUGCUGAGAGCCUGAACCCAUCACUGUGUGAGGGGGAGGGGACUUUUCUUUCUUUCUUUCUUUUCCCCCAGGCCUUGUCCAUUGCUCUACUUGUCAAUCGGUCCCCCAGCUGUCCCACUCAUUCCCUGUCUCAGGCUCCAUGCCGUCAGAUCAGCCCUCGGUCCCGUCCCUAGGAGCCGGGGAAGGCCUGUGACAGGGCAGCAGGGGCCUGUCUAGCUGUGGCAGCCUCUGCCUGGGAUGGUCAGGAACCUGCUGCUGUGAGAUGAUCAGAGCUGCCAGCACCUGAGCUCAGCAAGCUGGGCCGGGGUCACUUGGGACACAAGUUUGUGGGUUCCUCAGCGGACAUGUUAACCCAGCUGCGUGGUUAGAGCAUGAACCAUCUGGGGACGGGGCAGCGUCCUGCUCUUUGUGUGUGUGCA